rnacentral:tRNA from 1 species
GGAGGAUUAGCCUAAUUGGUAAGGCAGCGGUCUUGAAAACCGCCGGGACUGACGUCCCUUGCAGGUUCGAGUCCUGCAUCCUCCG